GGUGUUUAUGGACGAUUCAAAAUGGUUACUGCACGUGUGUAACCAGUGCGUGUUGUCGAUCGGUUUGCUACGUGGAUUUUAAUAAUGAACAGUUUAUUCAUUUGAUAAAUAAUAAACACAAUUAAACACACAGUAGUAAGAUGUUGAGGCUUUUGAGAUGUUAUGCGAUACCUGUACAGAACUUGUCACUCACGACAGUGCAAAUAAAUUUACAACAAAAUAAUCACGUUUGUUCGUUCUGCAAUUUUCAUCACCUGAAGCCAAUCACGUAUUUCAGAAAUGGUUCUCUUCAUCGUCGAACGACAAGUACAAAUACGGCAACUGCGGAUAAAACAACGCCAAAGAAGAUUAAACAUAAGAAGAAAAAGUAUGCAGAGCUCCUGGAAGUAUCCGGUCAGAAAACAACGAAUACAAAAGCUACCGUCCAAAAGUUGAACGCUGUCAGUGUAUCAAAACUUGCUAAUGAGCCUGAGAUCAGAUUGGAUCAAGUUCACAAAAUCAACAGUUUAAAUAAACUACCGAGUUCCAAGACAGUUGAUGCAGAAUGUAAGCAAGACAUGGAGCAAAAAGAAUCCGAGGAUUCAGGCUAUCAAAGUAAUUUGCAUAACGACGAUAUUGAAGAGGACCAUAUGGUAUACGGUUCCUCGGAUCAAACUAUGCUGAUCAAGAAUGCAUUGGUGUUAACCACAUUAGAAGAUUAUUCUCAAGAUGCAGUAGACAGAAGCACUACCGAUUCUCAACCUAGCAAUGCGACGAAAUCGAAAAAGAAGAAAGAGAAAAAAUCAAAAGCUCACACCGAUGGACACAACAAAGACGAGAAUAUGAAAAUGAAAAUUAAGGAAUUAGAAGAGCUGGGUAAAAAAACGAGUUUUGAACGCAACCUGCAUGCAUAUCUGAACGUUUGCGUCAACUGUGGAUUGACAUCCGAAGCAUCACGCACAUUAUUAUGGUAUAGAAAACGAGGAAAGUACUUGAAGUAUGUACUUAGAGGUCUUAAUAUUGUUCACUACAACACUAUAUUACAUGGAUUUGCGUCAGUCGGUAACCUAGAGAAGUUGAAAGUGUUUUUGCGAAUCAUAGCUCAGGAUUCGUUGAAGACCAAUUCACAAACGUACGCUGCUGUAUUCGAAUGUGUGGGGCGUAUCGCAGACCAUCAAAAUCACCAAGGUUACCUGGAGUCUAUCUCAUCAGAUAUGGCAGCACGGCAUAUCAGUUUCAAUGAUGUUUUGGACAAAUCAGUAUUCAUAAACGAUCAACGAGAAAUGGUUCUUCGAGGAAUUCGCAUCUUGAACCCAGAUUUCGAACCAAUAUAUACAAAAUCAAAUACUUCUUACGCAAACCAUCUACUCGAUGAAAUAUCAAAGACUGAUAGUCAGCAGACUACGCCAGCCAAAGGAUUGUUUUCAGUACCGGAAUUGUCUGAAAUGGCUAGACGUCAAAUGGAACUUGAAUCACUUGGUCAUGUUACUCUGAAAAGCAUCGCCACAAAUGCCGAACCCUCACCAACAGUUUUACUUUGUAGAAAGAAAGUCAUGGAGUCUGAGAAGAUGUGGAGACGUAUCAUUGCAGAAUCCUUUCAAAGAGAUCUGGAUAUUUUGAAAAAGCAAUGCACCACAGGAGAAAGUCUGCAACGGCCAAUAAAUAUAUAUCCCUACCUAAAAGUUUUGGAUGAGCAUCAUUACAUUGAUGUUAUUGCAAAAGAAAUUAAACGAUUAGCUACUGGUUCCGAAAUGUUCAGCCCUUCUUUAAACACGCUGACUCGAAAUCUUGGCCACAAUAUAUUUAGAAAAUAUGAGAUUGAAAUGAAGUCAAGAUACGGCGUGAGUAAAAAGAUAUUCCGAAUAUACGGAAAAUAUUGUGAUCGGUAUUUAAACGGAUACAACGGAAUGAAUACACGAUCUAUCUGGCAAAAUCUCCUCCAUGAAGAAAUACACAGUGGCCCGACCACAGACAUACAAAUUACAGAGUGGCCAUCAACUGUUUUUGGAAGUCUCGGUCGAUUUUUGUAUGACAUCAUUUUGAGGGAUAUCAAAAUUGAUGUCAAUUGUAUAAAAAACAAAAGUAAAACUGAAAGAUAUUUGCCUGCGUUUUACACUGUCUUUAGAAACACUCGAUACGUAAUUACGCAAGAGAUAAAACCGCAUCCAGUCUUGUCACGAAUAUACAAACAAGCGCAGCUCGAUACCUUGGAUUUUGAUACCACAGAUGUACCAUCGGUGAUUCCACCAGUACCCUGGCAUACUGUCCACCAUGGAGGAUACUUGGUAGCUGGUCAAAAAAUUAUAAGACUGCCUUACCAAGCUGUUCAGCAAUGGCGAAUACUCCAAAGUAUACCACAACAGCAGAUAUACCCUGUUCUAGAUUGUUUGAAUCAACUGGGUAGUAUACCCUGGAGAAUAAACCAACCUGUUUUGGACAUCGCUGUGAAGGUAUUCCAGAAUGGCGGAUCAAAAAAAUUAGAUAUUCCAGAACCACAGUCUCCCGUAGUCCCAACUGUAACGGUUGAUGCGAAUGCAUCAAAGGAAGAACGAGUCAAGGCUUCGAAAGCCCGACUGAAGGAAAGGCAGAAAAGAUCAGAUAUGUACUCUCUCUGGUGUGAUACUCUUUACAAACUGUCCUUGGCUAAUCACUUCAGGGGCCAAGUAUUUUGGUUACCACACAGUUUAGAUUUCAGAGGACGUGUAUAUCCAGUCCCUCCACAUCUGAAUCAUUUGGGUUCUGACUUGGCACGUUCCUUGAUGGUCUUUGCUUUAGGAAAACCCUUAGGUCCAGAUGGGCUUGAUUGGCUAAAGAUCCAUAUUAUCAAUAUAACAGGACUUAAGAAAAGAGAAUCUAAUGACGAGCGACUGAAAUAUGCAAAUGAGCUGUUACCAAAAAUUUUAGACAGUGCAGAAAACCCGUUUACGGGUGAGAAGUGGUGGCAAGAAUCUGAAGAGCCGUGGCAAACGUUAGCUGCUUGUUUUGAAAUAGCCAAUGCUGUGAAGUCGCCAAAGCCGUCUGAAUAUAUUAGUCACUUUCCCGUACAUCAAGAUGGCAGUUGUAACGGAUUGCAACAUUAUGCAGCACUUGGAAGAGAUGAACAAGGAGCUGAAAGUGUUAACCUUGUUCCACGGCCGAAACCUCAAGAUGUCUACAGCUCCGUUGCUGCCCUGGUUGAAAAAGAGAGACAAAAAGAUGCGGAAAAUGGAGUGAAAAUAGCACAAGUUCUAGAUGGGUUAAUUAAAAGAAAAGUCAUCAAACAAACUGUCAUGACUACUGUGUAUGGUGUAACACGAUUUGGUGCCAGACUACAAAUCGCUAGACAACUGAAAGAAAUUGAAUUCUCCGAAGAAUAUUUGUGGCGAGGAAGUAGUUAUUUAGUGAUCAAGACGUUUAACAGCUUGAGAGAAAUGUUUACUAGCACAAAAUUAAUUCAAGAUUGGUUGACGGAUUGUGCCCGUUAUAUCGCCCUUGUAUGCGCAGAGAAUGUGGAGUGGGUUACACCUUUGGGGCUUCCCGUUGUACAACCUUACAGUAAAGGCUACACAAAUUAUCAAGCCCAGAGACCUGAUGCACAUUUAAUUAUGGAUAUGUUCACUAAACCGAAUGUAAUGAAACAAAAGAACGCAUUUCCACCUAAUUUCAUUCAUUCGCUAGACUCUUGUCACAUGAUGUUGACAAGUGUGCAUUGUGAACACGCUGGAAUCACUUUCGUGUCUGUGCAUGACUGUUUCUGGACUCAUGCUUGCACAGUCCCUGUAAUGAAUAAGAUUUGUCGUGAACAGUUUGUGGCACUGCACUCUGAACCAAUUCUACAAAAUCUUUCAAAUUUCCUUGUUGAAAGAUUCGGUUACAAAGAAAGCGAGUUACGUGAUGACGAGUCUGUACCAGCAUCUGAGAAAUUAAAAUUGAACAAUGUCUUAAAACAAGUCCCGGUACAAGGUACGUUCGACCUGAAAAGCGUUUUGGCCUCUGUGUACUUCUUCAGUUAGACAUGAUACACCUAUGCGAAAGGAGCAUACAAAAUGAAUGUGAAAGUAACAUGAAUUUUCAGUUGCAACAAAAAUUAAUCGAAGUAGCGUGCACAGUAACGUCACACUCGCUAUCGGUGAGUCGUUUACACGCAUGAAUUGGCGGUACUUCGCGAACGCAGUUGAUGCAAACUGCGUUAUAUCCUGUUCCCGAGUUCAGUUGAUCUCCAACGAUCAUUCUCAAGUCUAAAUUUGCAGGUGGAAUCGAAAAACAGAAUAGUAAUCGUGACACAGUUCUGCAAGAUUGCAGAUUUAUGGAUGAAGAAAUGUUAAUGAAACAAAAUGUGAAUUGUAUCCUUUAACGAACCUCCGUAUCCCACAGAACAAACACAAUUUAGUGUUGGAUCUGAUUUUGGUGAUGAUUGUUGAUCAUUCAAGUAUGAUUUCCUUCAACUAUACAAGGUGCAAUAUUGGUUUCCUCUUCAGCUACACAAAAGUCAUUAUUACGGUUAAGUCGCUAUGUUGAACAGUUUACAUGAUACCUGUGGGUUUGGUAUAUGAGAACGUAAUAUUUUGUACAGCUGUCUGGUAUAAUGAGAAUCGACGGUUUCUGGAGUUUGAGCUCUAUGAAUAAUUUUCCCACGUGUUCACGCCUUAAGGAUCUCCGUGGUAUUCUAUAUGCGUGAUAAAAUGUAAAUUUAUUCUUUAAUUUAAACAUCGUGCUGAGCGUCGAAGCCUUCGACCACACAAUGUAAACCUAACGAUGUAAGCCCCGUAUCAUCGACGAUAUGCCCCGGUCGCGAGCUUGACUCGUGGGUAUUGUAUACACAAUCGUCGAUGCGUACACACAUUGUAUAUACGCAAAUAAUAAAAAUUAUUGUUCACAUU